UAUUGUGUCAACAUGCGCAAGACUGUAGAAAACCCACUCAAACGUGUUUCUGUAAAACACGAGUAGCAGCAGAGAAAAAAAAAGAUCAAAUUUCAGUACAAAUAAAUAGGAUCGAUUGAGCAUGUCACACCUGAAGAAAGGACUCUAACGAUGGCCGUCUUCGACACUCUGCCAGCUGACAUCCAAGCAGAGGAUGUUGCUGUGGUCAUCCCGGAUGUCACCCCACACGUCACCAAGGACGUGACACUGGAUGUUCCAUGCAGAGCUAGGAAAGGGGCAGUCCAGCGAUUAUUUUGCAGGCUUUG